rnacentral:sRNA from 1 species
AUGCUGUUCCCAGGUCCCGAGGCCACACCUUCUUGCUCAGAAUGGGGCUGGCACGUUUUUCGUUUUUCCUGGAAGCCCAGCUCGCAGCUUUGCAUGGGCACCCCUUUCCCUGCAGGUGCACCUGGGAACUGGAGACCCCUACACACCUGGCUUCCCUUCCUUCAAUCAAACCCAGUUCCCUCCAGUUGCAUCAUCAGGCCUUCCCAGCAUCCCAGUCCAGCCCAUCAGUGCAGACAUUGCCUCCCGCCUGCUGAGGAAGCUCAAAGGCCCUGUGGCCCCCCAAGAAUGGCAGGGGAGCCUCCUAGGCUCCCCUUAUCACCUGGGCCCUGGGCCACGACUGCGGCUAGUGGUCAACAAUCACAGGACCUCCACCCCCAUCAACAACAUCUUCGGCUGCAUCGAAGGCCGCACAGAGCCAGGCUUCCGGCCCCGCAGAAGUCUCCUCUUCAUCAGCUGGGACGGUGGUGACUUUGGAAGCGUGGGCUCCACGGAGUGGCUAGAGGGCUACCUCAGCGUGCUGCACCUCAAAGCUGUAGUGUACGUGAGCCUGGACAACGCAGUGCUGGGGGAUGACAAGUUUCAUGCCAAGACCAGCCCCCUUCUGACAAGUCUCAUUGAGAGUGUCCUGAAGCAGGUGGAUUCUCCCAACCACAGUGGGCAGACUCUCUAUGAACAGGUGGUGUUCACCAAUCCCAGCUGGGAUGCUGAGGUGAUCCGGCCCCUACCCAUGGACAGCAGUGCCUAUUCCUUCACGGCCUUUGUGGGAGUCCC